GAGUUUGUCGUACAAUUUGAGACCACUGCAGCAAUCAAGCAGGGAUUGUGUACCAUCCAGAAAUGGAUGUCUGAGGAAGGCAUUGCAUGGAAUCCGUAAUUUUUUAUGACAGAUUUUUCAGAACGUGAAAUCAAUGCCAUCGAACAGAUCUUUCCAGCAUGCACUGUCUUUCUCUGUGAUUUUCACAGAGAACAAGCAUGGACACGAUGGGUCCGGAAGAUAGAAAAUGGUGUUGCUUCGUGCAAGUAGAAAGUGCUCUCCAUGCUGAGAAGAUGUGCCCAUGCCACUGAGCCAUCAGAGUACAAUGCUGCAUUGGAAUACCUCAAGGCUUCUAAAGAAUGGCAGGAAAACCCAAAACUACAGAAGUGGUUCACCAAACAGUGGAUUCCACAUUCUAAGCGCUGGGUAUGGGGCAACCGUUGCAACAAAGGAGUUCAGGUCAACACCAACAACGGACUGGAGAGGCAGAAUGGGAUAUUCAAAUAUUCCUUCUUGGAAAAGAAGAACUACACCAGUAUUUCUGGAAUGAUUUCUAUUCUCAUUUUGGAAUACCUGCCUAACAGCAUGUGCAGACUUUUGCAAUUCUCUUCUGAUACAUCUUCCUGACUACCAGCUGCAAUGCCUCCAACAACUCCAGAACUCCGCGGCCAGACUUGUAACGCUCACUAAAGGCACCACUCACAUCUCACCCAUCAUUCAGGCACUGCACUGGCUUCCUGUCCGCCAACGCAUCAUCUUCAAAGUCAUUCUUCUCGUCAAGCACUUCACUGCACUGCACCCUCAUACAUACAAGACCUAGUUCACCUCUACGAACCACCACGACGACUCCGCUCUGCUCACACCCAACUUCUUUGCAUCCCACGUUCACGGCACUCCUGGGGAAGGCGUUCAUUUUCAAGUUCUGGCCCUGAACUGUGGAACUCACUCCCUCCUCACCUCCAUAUAUCAGAGAAGAUCUGACAGCAAUCGACUCACUGGGAAGGACAUAUGAUGAUGCCAUCCCACCCUAUCUGCAGAAUCGUCCAUCCUAUUUCAUCCGUCAUUGCAUGAGGAAAAUUGAGAUGGCAGGGACGCUAACAAAGGAUGAUGUCAUAAGAAAAUCAGAGCACUGCUUCCAGGUGAAAAGUGAGACGACAUGGCCAAGAACUUCAUACAAUGUUCAUCUUCAGACUGAGAAUGGCAUUCCCAAGUGUGAAUGCUGGGACUGGCGUUGGACUCAUCUCCCUUGCAAACACAUGUUUGCCGUGUUGGAGCUACUUCCAGGGACAACUUGGUCUGCUCUACCCGAGAAGUUUCGCAACUCUCCACUCUACACCUUGGACACAGAAGUUUGCGGUUUUCUUGAGGUGCCUGCCGACUAAGGUAUAGACUUGGGAGACCAUCAGCCCGAUCAAUUAGACCAGCCAGCUGAUGACACUAUGUUGGAGGAACUUCCAAAACGAGGCCAUUUGCCCUCUGCGAAAAAGCAAUUGGCCCUUAACUUACUUGAGUUCAGAUGAUGUACUAAACAUGAUGGACGACAAGUUGGGCCUGCUCCUAAUAAUCGUGCAAAUGAAGCUCCGGAAUGAAAGUGGCUUAGUUGAGGACCGACCUAAGAACACAGCAUCAAAGAAAAGGAGCCAGCCAUCACCCUCGAAUCUUCCACUGAGGAAGAAAAAGAAGAUAGCCAGAGUAGGAGCUGCUGCAGAGAGACUCCAAACAAAUAAGGAGCUCAUAACCAAGGCUGUAGAAAACAAAUCCUCACAAGUCAAACAGAGACUGCGACAAGCAACCCUGAAGGAGUGUAAGACUAAACGGGUUAGAUUUGCUGAUGAAUGCACCAAGAAAGCAGCUGCAGAAUCAUACAGGCCACAAAGCACCACUCCCUCCAUGAUUGCUGGUGUUUCCAAUCAGCAACAACAGAAAUCACCCCUAUUUCCCAAUGGAUCAGUCCCUCCCAUCCUAAAGAAAAACAAGGACUCGCUAACCAGAGCACAGCCUCUCGGGGGUGUGCAACGUCUUGAUGUGAAGGACAUGAAAACCAAGCAAUCUCUUGGAGAGAAUGUUCCAGUUAUAAUGUCAGCAAGGCAGAAUAACCAGGGAGGUCCUCAUCUCAGUAACACCACAAUCAAGGACCAUCUCCCCAGCCGCCCUCCCUCUGCCCAAUCUCAGCAAUCUACCCAGAGGACACAGCCAUACCCCCAGCCACACCCCCAGGCACACCCCCAGCCACACCCCCAGUCACAACCCCAGUCACAACCCCAGCAGCAGCAUCUCAGACAAUCAACACCCCAUCCACCCCAGCAGAUGGUAGCGGGCAGGGAAGGGGACAGCAGGGUUAAGGAGAAGAAACGAGGCCUUGGCAGGUCUCUCAGUGUCAAACAUCCAUGAGAUUCAUGUGUGGCCUCUGAAGAACUAGCCUGGGUGAGAAGACAGCCACUCCCUUCUACUGGCAAGGAUGGUCGAUACAGUGUUUGUGGAGAGACUCUGGAAGUAUCAGACUUUCAGACUCUAAGGAGCCCAAAUUGGAUCAAUGACAGGAUCUUGAAUGCGUAUCUUAGCCCGAGAGAACAACAAACGGUCUGAUGACCACAUUUUUGUCAUGCCUAGUUAUGCAGCAGUGCACUUGCAAAGGGAGCAGUUCCAAUCAUGGCUCUUCAGGAAGGUCAACCUACUGAAGUACAGAUGGUUAUUCCUUCCAGUCAAUGUUAAUCAAUCACACUGGGUUCUUGUAGCUGCAGA